AUGAGGCUCUCCCACCAUAAAUACCAAGCGGUUAUCGCAAUUAAUUCACUUGCAUUCUGGCAACCUAAUAUAUAUAGUUCCUGGUGCAGCAUAAUGAAAACCGGAUCAAUCAGGACGUGCCACCUGCUUUACUGGGGGAUCUGGUUGGGUACACAUCUGGGUUCAGCUAGCGAUGACUGUCAGCCUGACAUUAUUGUUCGUCUCAUGCUCGGCUGGUGCCGUCGAUGUCAUCUCCUCACUACCUCGGCUCCCGCGGAAAGACUGCUUCAUCAAAGGAGAAACUGGGGAUCCCCCGGCUGCGUUCUGCCGAGAGCCGUGUAUGUGGAGUUGAGGACGCACGUGGACGGAUGGCGGAGAGAGGCACACGCAGAUAAUGGAGGCGGGGGCAACGAUAUUCUGCAAGUUGGCGAUAUAGCGUCGGCACUCUUUCACGGCGACGGCUGCCGACGACACACAGCUGCUGGACGACUUCAAGGCGGCGCUGCUCAACCAGGCGUCGCUAGACAGCUGGACCGCGCGCGACGGCGCUUGCAGGUUCCCGGCGCGGUGUGCAGGGCCGGGCGCCUGACCUCUGCGGCGUUGAGAGGCUCAGCCUCCGCAGGGCCAACGUCAGCGAUGUGCUCCGGCGGCAGGUGCGGCAGCAAGGUCGAGUUGCUCGACCUCUCUGUAAAUUCCGUGCUGCGCGGCUCCUUUGCCGACGUGACCGUGCUGGCCGGCUCCUGCGGGGGGCUCAAGACGUUGAAUCUGUCCGGUGAUGCGAUCACCAGAGAUGACGACCUCCGCUGGAUGGUGGGUGCCAGCCUUUGUCUUUCCGGUGGCUGGACCUCGCAUGGAACAAGACCUCCGGCAGCCUCUCGGACUUCACCAACUGCUACGGGAUGCAGUACCUUGACCUGUUCGGCAACCUCACUGCCUGAGAUGUCGCCGCCGGGGCGCUCUACGGAUGCCGCAGUCUUAGAGCGCUCAACCUCUCCAGCAACCAUCUCGCUGGCACAUUCCCGCCCGAACAUCGCUGGCGCCGUGUGUAAUCUUCGCCCCUGCUGGCUUCUCUGCACCCCAUGUCUUGUACCUCUGGUCUUCGGAGCCACAUCGCGUGGGCAUCCAAUGGACAAUGGACAGGUUGCAAGGACGGCGUCACGAGGCGGCGGAGAUCCAUCCUACCAUGCGGACAGUGCCACACAGCAGUACCCUAGCCAGUCGCGCGACGACACCGGCUACGCCUCCUUCAAGGCCCAGUUGCAGUCCGUCAUAGACGCCACCACUGAGCUUGCUUGGUCGGCUGCAUGGCCAGCUCCUGCAGGAAUUCUCCAGCAAACUGGUCGUGCACGCGAGGUUUACUUCAAUCUGAAGGACAUGUCAGGUCAUGGUCCUGUGGCUGUGGGUUUCUUGCGGCGAUGGCUUGAGUUAUCGGCGGAGGCGCGCAGGGUGUUGUUUGCCUUCCGUGUGGUGUCGUGUGGGCUAGAUCCAGUGGCCAAUCUAGCUUCUCUCUUUAACAGGCCUAAGCUACUGGCUAACUACAAAUCUAGCUUCUCUCUUUAUAGCAGGCCUGAGGAAGAUGAUCCAUGCCUAUCCUCAUGUGAUGAACAUGUGAUUGAUUUAGGUGUAGAUAAAUUAGGAAAAGCCAAACUGGAGAGCCAUCUAGAUCGGCCGGCCAGCAUUAUAUCCUGCGCACUUGCUCUCAGGAAAGAGCUCCAAGGCUGCAGCGUUCCCCCCGUGACCAACCGAAUGAAUCUGGAUCACGCGGAGAAGCUUCUUUCCAGGUGGGGAAUCAUCAUCAGAUCAAACCAAAAGCAAUAUCAGAGAGAGACAGCAGGAAAAGAAGAAGAAAACCAUCAAACUGAAGGCAUGAUCCGCAAAAACAAUCAUCAAAAAGAUAGACGGCGGCAGUAUUGCUGCGGCGGCGACAUCAGAUGCGGCGGCGGCGGCGACAUCAGAUGCGGCGGCGGAUGGGAGGAGGAGAGUUCUGCUGCGCCGAAUAGGGGGGCUGCACCCUGUUAUAUAGAGAGCUUGCUAGGGUAUGGCGCCGCGUGGCAGUAA
rnacentral:rRNA from 1 species